CCUACGGGAGGCAGCAGUGGGGAAUAUUGCACAAUGGGGGGAACCCUGAUGCAGCAAAGCCGCGUGAGCGAUGAAGGCCUUCGGGUCGUAAAGCUCUGUCCUAAGGGAAGAAUACUGACGGUACCUUAGGAGGAAGCCCCGGCUAACUACGUGCCAGCAGCUGCGGUAAUACGUAGGGGGCUAGCGUUAUCCGGAAUUACUGGGCGUAAAGGGUUCGUAGGCGGCACUUCAAGUCAGAGGUGAAAUGCUACGGCUCAACCGUAAUAAGCCUUUGAAACUGUAGGGCUUGAGUGGAGGAAAGGGGAGAGGAAUUCACAGUUGAGCGGUGAAAUGCGUAGAUAAUGUGAGGAAACGCAGUUGCUAAGUCGGCUCUCUAGACUGUAACUGACGCUGAGGCCCGAAAGCGUGGGGAGCGAACAGGAUUAGAUGCCCUUUUAGUC
rnacentral:rRNA from 1 species